GCCAGGCAUGGUGGCACGUGCCUGUAGUCCCAGCUACUCGGGAGGCUGAGGCUGGAGAUCGCCUGAGCCCAGUAGUUCUGGGCUGUAGUGCGCUAUGCCGAUCGGGUGUCUGCACUAAUUUUGGCAUCAAUAUGAUGACCUCCCGGGAGCGGGGUACCACCAGGUUACCUAAGGAGGGGUGAACCGGUCCAGGUUGGAAAUGGAGCAGGUCAAAACUCCCGUGCUGAUCAGUAGUGGAAUCGCGCAUGUGAAUAGCCACUGCACUCCAGCCUGGGCAACAUAGUGAGACCCCGUCUCUA
rnacentral:SRP_RNA from 1 species